GCUGGGCAGGGUGGCACGUGUCUGUAGUUCCAGCUAUUCGGGAGGCUGAGGCUGGAGGAUCUCUUGAGCCCAGGAGUUCUGGGUUGUAGUGCACUAUGCUGAUCGGGUGUCCACACUAAGUUUGGCAUCAAUAUGGUGACCUCCAGGGAGCGGGGACCACCAGGUUGCCUAAGGAGGGGUGAACCAGCCCAGGUCGGAAACGGAGUAGGUCAAAACUCCCGUGCUGAUCUGUAGUGGGAUUGCGCCUGUGAAUAGCCACUGUACUCCAGCCUGGGCAACAUAGCGAGACCCUGUCUUUA
rnacentral:SRP_RNA from 13 species